GAUGAAGAACGUAGUGAAAUGCGAUAAGUAGUGUGAAUUGCAGAAUUCAGUGAAUCAUCGAAUCUUUGAACGCACAUUGCGCCCCUUGGUAUUCCAUGGGGCAUGCCUGUUCGAGCGUCAUUUGUACCUUCAAGCUCUGCUUGGUGUUGGGUGUUUGUCUCGCCUCUGCGUGUAGACUCGCCUCAAAACAAUUGGCAGCCGGCGUAUUGAUUUCGGAGCGCAGUACAUCUCGCGCUUUGCACUCAUAACGACGACGUCCAAAAGUACAUUUUUACACUCUUGACCUCGGAUCAGGUAGGGAUACCCGCUGAACUUAAGCAUAUCAAUAACGGAGGA
rnacentral:misc_RNA from 1 species